GUGAGACAGUCAUGCUAUGGUAAAAAGGAGUAAGCAAAUACUGUGUCCGGGCCUACAUUAAAGAGUAUUGCACACAACGCAGAGGAAGAAGAGUUAAAGGACCGGAGACGUUACAUGUAUACGACUUUGGGAGACAGAUGAUGACCCGGAGCUGAAGGCUUUCUCUCCACUGGCCUCUCGCUCAACUGUGCUUCACUUUGGCUCAGAGUAACCUCAACUAAGAAUAUGUGCAUCAGCCCUCACUGCGUGUCUGACGGUGGACUACUGGAGUUCAUCACAUGCUCGACGAGAAUGCAGAACUGGCCACUACAUUUGCUCUCCUUUCUAGAUACUUCCAGCGGGUUUACAAGGAUGAGGCUGUCGGCAUCUUUUUACACAGCAUUCACAAUUUAACACACAUUAAAGACAUGAUGGUGUGGCACCCAUAUAAACGUUGGCCAACUUACUGAAAAAUAAUUUUAGGUUUACUUUUAAAUGGGUCAGAUGAUAUAUUUUCCUUUCAGUAUACACAAACUCACACAGAUACUUAUGCAUAUAUAAAGAGUAAAAAUGCUGGGUAUUAACACUGCUUAUGAUUUUGUGCUAUAUAAAUAAAACUUGAACUUGAGUUGCAUUUAGAAUUUGAA